UGAGGAAUAUUGGUCAAUGGGCGGGAGCCUGAACCAGCCAAGCCGCGUGAGGGAGGAAGGCCCUAUGGGUCGUAAACCUCUUUUGUCAGGGAACAAAAGCGAGUAUGUAUACUAGUCUGAGUGUACCUGAAGAAAAACGCAUCGGCUAACUCCGUGCCAGCAGCCGCGGUAAUACGGAGGAUGCGGGCGUUAUCCGGAUUUAUUGGGUUUAAAGGGUGCGUAGGCGGCGGUGCAAGUCAGCGGUAAAAGCCCGGGGCUCAGCCCCGGCGAGCCGUUGAAACUGCAGUGCUAGAGAAGGCGAGAGGUACGCGGAAUGCGCAGUGUAGCGGUGAAAUGCUUAGAUAUUGCGCAGAACUCCGAUUGCGAAGGCAGCGUACUGGCGCCUGACUGACGCUGAGGCACGAAAGCGUGGGGAUCGAACAGGAUUAGAUACC
rnacentral:rRNA from 1 species